rnacentral:rRNA from 1 species
AACGAACGCUGGCGGCAUGCCUAACACAUGCAAGUCGAACGAGAUCUUCGGGUCUAGUGGCGCACGGGUGCGUAACGCGUGGGAAUCUGCCCUUUGGUUCGGAAUAACAGUUGGAAACGACUGCUAAUACCGGAUGAUGACGAAAGUCCAAAGAUUUAUCGCCAGAGGAUGAGCCCGCGUAGGAUUAGCUAGUUGGUGUGGUAAAGGCGCACCAAGGUGACGAUCCUUAGCUGGUCUGAGAGGAUGAUCAGCCACACUGGGACUGAGACACGGCCCAGACUCCUACGGGAGGCAGCAGUGGGGAAUAUUGGACGAUGGGCGAAAGCCUGAUCCAGCAAUGCCGCGUGAGUGAUGAAGGCCUUAGGGUUGUAAAGCUCUUUUGCCCGGGAUGAUAAUGACAGUACCGGGAGAAUAAGCUCCGGCUAACUCCGUGCCAGCCGCCGCAGUAA